rnacentral:rRNA from 1 species
UACGUAGGGUGCAAGCGUUAAUCGGAAUUACUGGGCGUAAAGCGCGCGUAGGCGGCUUUGCAAGUCGGAUGUGAAAUCCCCAGGCUUAACCUGGGAACGGCAUCCGAGACUGCAUUGCUAGAGUAUGGGAGAGGGAAGUGGAAUUUCCGGUGUAGCGGUGAAAUGCGUAGAUAUCGGAAGGAACAUCAGUGGCGAAAGCGACUUCCUGGACCAAUACUGACGCUCAUGUGCGAAAGCGUGGGGAGCAAACAGG